rnacentral:rRNA from 1 species
CCUACGGGUGGCAGCAGUGGGGAAUAUUGGACAAUGGGGGCAACCCUGAUCCAGCCAUGCCGCGUGUGUGAAGAAGGCCCUCGGGUUGUAAAGCACUUUCAGUGAGGAAGAACGCCUGGUGGUUAAUACCCAUCAGGAAAGACAUCACUCACAGAAGAAGCACCGGCUAACUCCGUGCCAGCAGCCGCGGUAAUACGGAGGGUGCGAGCGUUAAUCGGAAUUACUGGGCGUAAAGCGCGCGUAGGUGGCUUGAUAAGCCGGUUGUGAAAGCCCCGGGCUCAACCUGGGAACGGCAUCCGGAACUGUCAAGCUAGAGUGCAGGAGAGGAAGGUAGAAUUCCCGGUGUAGCGGUGAAAUGCGUAGAGAUCGGGAGGAAUACCAGUGGCGAAGGCGGCCUUCUGGACUGACACUGACACUGAGGUGCGAAAGCGUGGGUAGCAAACAGGAUUAGAUACCCCGGUAGUCC